rnacentral:rRNA from 1 species
GAUGAACGCUGGCGGCGUGCCUAGUACAUGCAAGUCGAGCAAACGGACGAGAAGCUUGCUUCUCUGAUGUUAGCGGCGGACGGGUGAGUAACACGUGGAUAACCUACCUAUAAGACUGGGAUAACUUCGGGAAACCGGAGCUAAUACCGGAUAAUAUUUUGAACCGCAUGGUUCAAAAGUGAAAGACGGUCUUGCUGUCACUUAUAGAUGGAUCCGCGCUGCAUUAGCUAGUUGGUAAGGUAACGGCUUACCAAGGCAACGAUUCAUAGCCGAUCUGAGAGGGUGAUCGACGACACUGGAACUGAGACACGGUCCAGACUCCUACGGGAGGCAGCAGUAGGGAAUCUUCCGCAAUGGGCUAAAGCCUGACGGAGCAACGCCGCGUGAGUGAUGAAGGUCUUCGGAUCGUAAAACUCUGUUAUUAGGGAAGAACAUAUGUGUAAGUACCUGUGCAAAUCUUGACGGUACCUAAUCAGAAAGCCACGGCUAACUACGUG